AAGAAGUGAACACUAGAGAUCUAUUUUUAUAUCAGUAUAUAUGAAAACCUAUAUGAAUGAUGAGUAAAACUUGAAAAGGAUUUACAUAUGGUAAUGCAGACUUUGUUUAUAUCAUGUUAUUGAUGUUUAUGCACAUUAAAAACAUUCAGAUUUAUGUGCUAGUGAUACUUGUUUUGGAGAAUUUAUGUGACGUUGUAAUUUUAUAAUCUGGUUGAUUAUGUCAUUACCAAUACUCUUGUGAUUUUUUGAGAAAAACAUUUAUGCCCAUACAAUGCAAGACAAUGAAAUAUAUUGACUGAUGUAAAAAAAAACAUGAUUUUACUUGAUAACAAAUUUUGAGAACAUUAUUCAAAUUGAGAAUGAACUGGGAAACAAUCAGUUUAAUUUCCAUUCCAUUCCAUCAAAGGGGAAAACUAAAUGUAAAUCAAUGAAUGUCUUUAUACAUUAUAUUUACCUGUGUUUGUUUAAUAAACUGUUAUGAAUACC
rnacentral:misc_RNA from 1 species